UACGAAGGGGGCUAGCGUUGUUCGGAAUCACUGGGCGUAAAGGGCGCGUAGGCGGGAUGGCAAGUCGGUCGUGAAAUCCUUCGGCUCAACCGAAGAACGUCGAUCGAUACUGCUGUUCUUGAGGGUUGCAGAGGAGACUGGAAUUCCCGGUGUAGCGGUGAAAUGUGUAGAGAUCGGGAGGAACACCGGUGGCGAAGGCGGGUCUCUGGGCAAUUCCUGACGCUGAGGCGCGAAAGCGUGGGGAGCAAACGGG
rnacentral:rRNA from 1 species